GCGUCGAUGGGGUAGUGGUAACCUGGGUCGUUGCCAAUUCGUGUCAAACUCGACCCGCCGGGGGUUCAAUUCCCUCUCGACGCA